rnacentral:rRNA from 1 species
AGGCGGGUGCUAUACAUGCAAGUCGAGCGAAUCUGAGGGAGCUUGCUCCCAAAGAUUAGCGGCGGACGGGUGAGUAACACGUGGGCAACCUGCCUGUAAGACUGGGAUAACUCCGGGAAACCGGGGCUAAUACCGGAUAAUAUCUAUUUAUACAUAUAAUUAGAUUGAAAGAUGGUUCUGCUAUCACUUACAGAUGGGCCCGCGGCGCAUUAGCUAGUUGGUGAGGUAACGGCUCACCAAGGCGACGAUGCGUAGCCGACCUGAGAGGGUGAUCGGCCACACUGGGACUGAAACACGGCCCAGACUCCUACGGGAGGCAGCAGUAGGGAAUCUUCCGCAAUGGACGAAAGUCUGACGGAACAACGCCGCGUGAGUGAUGAAGGUUUUCGGAUCGUAAAACUCUGUUGUUAGGGAAGAACAAGUACCGGAAUAACUGCCGGUACCUUGACGGUACCUAACCAGAAAGCCACGGCUAACUACGUGCCAGCAGCCGCGGUAAUACGUAGGUGGCAAGCGUUGUCCGGAAUUAUUGGGCGUAAAGCGCGCGCAGGCGGUUCCUUAAGUCUGAUGUGAAAGCCCACGGCUCAACCGUGGAGGGUCAUUGGAAACUGGGGAACUUGAGUGCAGAAGAAGAAAGUGGAAUUCCAAGUGUAGCGGUGAAAUGCGUAGAGAUUUGGAGGAACACCAGUGGCGAAGGCGACUUUCUGGUCUGUAACUGACGCUGAAGCGCGAAAGCGUGGGGAGCAAACAGGAUUAGAUACCCUGGUAGUCCACGCCGUAAACGAUGAGUGCUAAGUGUUAGAGGGUUUCCGCCCUUUAGUGCUGCAGCAAACGCAUUAAGCACUCCGCCUGGGGAGUACGACCGCAAGGUUGAAACUCAAAGGAAUUGACGGGGGCCCGCACAAGCGGUGGAGCAUGUGGGUUUAAUUCGAAGCAACGCGGAAAACCUUACCAGGUCUUGACAUCCUCUGACAAUCCUAGAGAUAGGACUUUCCCCUUCGGGGGACAGAGUGACAGUGGUGCAUGGUGUCGUCAGCCUCGUGUCGUGAGAAUGUUGGGUUAAGUUCCCCGCAACGAGCCGCAACCCUUUGAUCUUAGUUGCCAGCAUUCA